rnacentral:rRNA from 1 species
UAGGGAAUAUUAGAAAUGGACGAAAGUCUGAUCUAGCAACACCGCGUGUGCGAAGAAGGCCUUCGGGUUGUAAAGCACUUUUUGGAAGGAUUAGGAAGGAAUGUACUUCCAGAAUAAGUCUCGGCUAACUACGUGCCAGCAGCCGCGGUAAUACGUAGGAGGCAAACGUUAUCCGGAUUUACUGGGCGUAAAGCGCGUGUAGGUGGUUUGGUAAGUAGAGCGUGAAAGCUCCUGGCUCAACUGGGAGAGGUCGUUCUAAACUGCCGGACUAGAGGAUGGUAGAGGGAGGUGGAAUUCCGGGUGUAGCGGUGGAAUGCGCAGAUAUCCGGAGGAACACCAGUGGCGAAAGCGGCCUCCUGGCCCAUUUCUGACGCUCAGACACGAAAGCUAAGGUGGCAAACG